AACGAACGCUGGCGGCAGGCUUAACACAUGCAAGUCGAACGCAUCGCAAGAUGAGUGGCAGACGGGUGAGUAACGCGUGGGAACAUACCCUUUUCUACGGAAUAGCUCUGGGAAACUGGAAUUAACACCGUAUACGCCCUACGGGGGAAAGAUUUAUCGGGGAAGGAUUGGCCCGCGUUGGAUUAGCUAGUUGGUGGGGUAAAGGCCUACCAAGGCGACGAUCCAUAGCUGGUCUGAGAGGAUGAUCAGCCACAUUGGGACUGAGACACGGCCCAAACUCCUACGGGAGGCAGCAGUGGGGAAUAUUGGACAAUGGGCGCAAGCCUGAUCCAGCCAUGCCGCGUGAGAGAUGAAGGCCUUAGGGUUGUAAAGCUCUUUCACCGAUGAAGAUAAUGACGGUAGUCGGAGAAGAAGCCCCGGCUAACUUCGUGCCAGCCGCCGCCGUAAGAC
rnacentral:rRNA from 1 species